rnacentral:rRNA from 1 species
GUGAGGAAUUUUCCGCAAUGGGCGAAAGCCUGACGGAGCAAUGCCGCGUGAAGGAUGAAGGCCUAUGGGUUGUAAACUUCUUUUCUCAGAAAAGAAUUAUGACGGUAUCUGAGGAAUAAGCAUCGACUAACUCUGUGCCAGCAGCCGCGGUAAGACAGAGGAUGCAAGCGUUAUCCGGAAUGAUUGGGCGUAAAGCGUCUGUAGGUUGUUUAAAAAGUAUUCUGUCAAAGAUUAGGGCUUAACCCUAGAUAGGCAGAAUAAACUUUUAAGCUAGAGUUUGGUAGAGGCAGAGGGAAUUCCCGGUGGAGCGGUGAAAUGCGUAGAUAUCGGGAGGAACACCAAAGGCGAAGGCACUCUGCUGGGCCAAUACUAACACUGAGAGACGAAAGCGAGGGGAGCAAAUGGGAUUAGAAACCCUAGUAGUCC